AAUCCACAGGGUAUCAGAAGAUAGCUUGCUAGCCAAUCAAGUCUUCAAACUGGCAGUAUGCCUUCCUAAAGUUUGCUCACCGAAGCAGUUCAUCGACACGGUUUUUGUAAACACCACUAGCGUGGGUUUCAAACUCACGGAAGAUUUCUGCAGACUGAGAAACGAUAAACCGUUUGCACCCGUUGAUUAUGCUGCUAUGGGAGUGUUUGGCUUCAUAAUAUUUAUUACUGUCCUUUCGACAUUCUACGAUAUAUAUUUUACCGCGAUAUGUAAGGAAGGUUCAAAAAAAGCCAAUACUCUUGUAAAAUCGUUCUCUGUCUAUACGAAUACUCGCCGUUUGCUGACAUUCAAUUCUGGGCCCGGAACCUUGGAGAGCCUGGACGGGAUCAGGUCCAUAUCCAUGAUGUGGGUCAUCAUAGGCCACACGUAUGCUACGAAUGGCAGAAAUCACUUUU